AGAGUUUGAUCAUGGCUCAGGACGAACGUUGGCGGUGCGCUUAAUGCAUGCAAGUCGAGGGAGAACCAGUUGAUUCGUAAGAUUCAGCUGGGGAAACCGGCGAACGGGUGCGUAACACGUGAGGNACCUGCCCCGAAGACUGGGAUAGCCCGAGGAAACUCGGAUUAAUACCGGAUACCCUCUUUGGACCACAUGGUCUAUUGAGGAAAUGGUCCGCCGCUUCGGGAUGGCCUCGCGGCCUAUCAGCUUGUUGGUGAGGUAAUGGCUCACCAAGGCCGAGACGGGUAGCUGGUCUGAGAGGACGAUCAGCCACACUGGGACUGAGACACGGCCCAGACUCCUACGGGAGGCAGCAGCAGGGAAUAUUGCACAAUGGGCGAAAGCCUGAUGCAGCGACACCGCGUGCGGGAUGAAGGCCUUCGGGUUGUAAACCGCUUUCAGGAGGGACGAAAAUGACGGUACCUCCAGAAGAAGGCCCGGCCAACUACGUGCCAGCAGCCGCGGUAAUACGAGGGGCCAAACGUUGUCCGGAUUUAUUGGGCGUAAAGGGCUCGUAGGCGGUUCAAAAAGUCGGUCGUGAAAGCCCGGGGCUCAACCCCGGGACGCCGGUCGAAACUGUUGUGACUAGGGUCCGGUAGAGGUGAGUGGAAUUCUCGGUGUAGCGGUGGAAUGCGCAGAUAUCGAGAGGAACACCGGUAGCGAAGGCGGCUCACUGGGCCGGUACCGACGCUGAGGAGCGAAAGCAUGGGGAGCAAACAGGAUUAGAACCCUGGUAGUCCAUGCCGUAAACGAUGAACACUAGGUGUGGCGGACUCAUUGACGUCUGCCGUGCCGAAGCUAACGCAUUAAGUGUUCCGCCUGGGGAGUACGGCCGCAAGGCUAAAACUCAAAGGAAUUGACGGGGCCCGCACAAGCGGCGGAGCAUGCGGCUUAAUUCGAUGCAACCCGAAGAACCUUACCUGGACUUGACAUCAUGGGUCUACCUGUAGAAAUAUGGGGUGCUUAUGCGCCCAUGACAGGUGUGCAUGGCUGUCG
rnacentral:rRNA from 1 species